AAAUUCUAGUGAGAUGAUCGCGACGGAGUCUAAAUUUGGAUGUCUUUUUCCUCUAAGUUCAUUAUUGUCUUUGUAUUCUUUAUCGCCUUUUAUUUCUUGUAAUUCUGCAACUGUUAGUUUCCUAUUUGAAUUUCCUGGAAAUACAAAUUCUCCAUCUCUUAGUGUUGCUUAAUUUGAUUGAGAUCAUUGUAAGUUUGGUAAAAGUAAAGUCUUACCCUUUCCAAU
rnacentral:lncRNA from 1 species